rnacentral:rRNA from 1 species
UACGAAGGGGGCUAGCGUUGCUCGGAAUCACUGGGCGUAAAGCGCACGUAGGCGGAUUGCUAAGUCAGGGGUGAAAUCCUGGAGCUCAACUCCAGAACUGCCUUUGAUACUGGCGACCUUGAGUCCGGGAGAGGUGAGUGGAACUGCGAGUGUAGAGGUGAAAUUCGUAGAUAUUCGCAAGAACACCAGUGGCGAAGGCGGCUUACUGGUCCGGUUCUGACGCUGAGGCGCGAAAGCGUGGGGAGCAAACAGG